rnacentral:rRNA from 1 species
GACGAACGCUGGCGGCGUGCUUAACACAUGCAAGUCGAACGGAAAGGCUCCAGCUUGCUGGCGUACUCGAGUGGCGAACGGGUGAGUAACACGUGGGUAAUCUGCCCUGCACUCUGGGAUAAGCCUGGGAAACUGGGUCUAAUACUGGAUAUGACCUUUCUCCUUAUGGGGUUUGGUGGAAAGUUUUUCGGUGUAGGAUGAGCCCGCGGCCUAUCGGCUUGUUGGUGGGGUGAUGGCCUACCAAGGCGACGACGGGUAGCCGGCCUGAGAGGGUGAUCGGCCACAUUGGGACUGAGAUACGGCCCAGACUCCUACGGGAGGCAGCAGUGGGGAAUAUUGCACAAUGGGCGGAAGCCUGAUGCAGCGACGCCGCGUGAGGGAUGACGGCCUUCGGGUUGUAAACCUCUUUCAGCAGGGACGAAGCGUAAGUGACGGUACCUGCAGAAGAAGCACCGGCUAACUAUGUG